UACGAAGGGGGCUAGCGUUGCUCGGAAUUACUGGGCGUAAAGGGUGCGUAGGCGGCACUGUUAGUCAGGCGUGAAAGUCCUGGGCUCAACCUGGGAACUGCGCUUGAUACGGCAGAGCUAGAGGAUGGAAGAGGGUCGCGGAAUUCCCAGUGUAGAGGUGAAAUUCGUAGAUAUUGGGAAGAACACCGGUGGCGAAGGCGGCUUGCCAGAACGCGCUCGACGGUGAGGGAUGAAAGCUGGGGGAGCAAACCGG
rnacentral:rRNA from 1 species